rnacentral:lncRNA from 1 species
CGGCCUUUGGCCUCGUAGGCCUAAGGCCGAGUCCUGCGCCCUAAAAAUAUCAUUUUUAAAUGUGCCCUACGCCCUUGAGAAUAUCAUAUUUCAAAUCUACUAACCAAGACCUUUCGAUAGAUACCCAUAUAGGUAAUGUUGACUCGACAUUGUCAUUCUCGGCACUCGGCCUCGUCUAAAAACGAGGCCGAGUGCCUCGUCCUCCGAACUCGAUUUGAUAUAUUAUAUUUCAAAUCUAUUCAUCAAGACCUUCUCAUAGACACCCAUUUAUUUAGCUAAAGUUAUGUCGACAUUUUUUUCAGAUUCGGUUCUCAGCAUCGUAGGCCUAAUCUCGGCCUCGUAGGAUGAGCCUCGGCCUUCGGCCUCGGAUAAAAACACCAUAUUUUAAAUAUCGAUAAUAUUGAAAAGAAAAUGGCUUUAUUUCAAUUUUGGGGCCCCAUGUGAUAUUUAUACCAUUUGGGGGCAUAUUCGGCGCUCCAUAGCUCAGCUCUCGGAGUUUUCCCAGAUAUACG